rnacentral:rRNA from 1 species
UACGGAGGGUGCGAGCGUUGUUCGGAAUCACUGGGCGUAAAGCGCGUGUAGGCGGCCCACUAAGUCUGAUGUGAAAGCCCGGGGCUCACCCCCGGAAGUGCAUUGGAAACUGGUGGACUCGAGUCCCGGAGAGGAGAGUGGAAUUCCUGGUGUAGCGGUGAAAUGCGUAGAUAUCCGGAGGAACACCGGUGGCGAAGGCGGCUUCCUGGACCGACACUGACGCUGAGGCGCGAAAGCUAGGGGAGCAAACGGG